AGAGUGAGAUUUAAAGAACCACAGUCGAAUUUGGUAAAAGAUAGCUAGUGUCUCGUUGUGACUAGGACGGUUAUCCAUAAUUUGCGGUGAAAUUUCGAGUAUAUAGCAUUCAAAUUAUUAAUAUUAAUCUAGUUAAAUUAUUUCUAUUGAUCGAUCCAUCGUAUCUCAUUUCUUAACUUACCGCGUGGAAUGGUCAAUAGGACAAAACUAAAGCCGAUUAUUAAUUGAAUUGUCUAAGCAACGGUUAUUGGCAGUCCAAGUGCCACCACGCAUAGCUAGUAUCGAGGAAAAGGUG